AUACGGAAGGUCAGGGCGUUAUCCGGAUUUAUUGGGUUUAGAGGGAGCGCAGGCGGGCUGUUAAGCCGGCUGUGAAAGUGCGGGGCCCAACCCCGUAUUGCGGUCGGAACUGAUGGUCUUGAGUGCACGCAGGGACGCUGGAAUUCACGGUGUAGCGGUGAAAUGCUUAGAUGUCGUGAAGAACUCCGAUGGCGAAGGCAGGUGUCCGGAGUGCUACUGACGCUGAGGCUCGAAAGUGCGGGUAUCGAACAGGAUUAGAUACCCUGGUAGUCCGCACCGUAAACGAUGCACACCCGCAGUCAGCCCUUUACGGGUUGGUUGCCAAGCGAAAGCGUUAAGUGUGCCACCUGGGGAGUACGCCGGCAACGGUGAAACUCAAAUGAAUUGACGGGG
rnacentral:rRNA from 1 species